AGCACAGUGAUGACUAUAUGGGACUUAAUACUGAAGUAUGAUGUCACUUUUGAGCAGAAACUGAUGUGC
rnacentral:snoRNA from 1 species